rnacentral:rRNA from 1 species
GACGAACCGUGCGAACGUUAUUCGGAAUCACUGGGCUUAAAGCGCGUGUAGGCGGGCCGCCCCGUCGGCUGCUGAAAUCCCCCGGCUCAACCGGGGAACGGGCACCGAUACGAGCGGCCUGGAGGGGGGUAGGGGGGUCUGGAACUUCCGGUGGAGCGGUGAAAUGCGUUGAGAUCGGAAGGAACGCCCGUGGCGAAAGCGGUCCGCUAGGUCUCUACUGACGCUGAGGCGCGAAAGCCAGGGGAGCAAACGGG